rnacentral:rRNA from 1 species
UACGGGGGGGGCAAGCGUUGUUCGGAAUUACUGGGCGUAAAGGGCUCGUAGGUGGCCAACUAAGUCAGACGUGAAAUCCCUCGGCUUAACCGGGGAACUGCGUCUGAUACUGGAUGGCUUGAGUUCGGGAGAGGGAUGCGGAAUUCCAGGUGUAGCGGUGAAAUGCGUAGAUAUCUGGGGGAACACCGGUGGCGAAGGCGGCAUCCUGGACCGACACUGACACUGAGGAGCGAAAGCCAGGGGAGCAAACGGG